AUGGAAGGGUAUGGGGCAUCUGCUGGUCUUGCCACCUAGCACUCCCGCCGGUGCAUUUGAAAUGGGCAAGGGAAAUUUUGGGCGCCUAAGUGCUGGGCCCUGCCAGGUGGGCUCCACAUGGGAGUGACAACUUCUCUUCCUAGGCCUCACGCUGCAUGGCUGAGGCUUUUCCCCAUGCACGUAGCCAUUUCUCUCCACUUGUCGUCCCAUGUGCUGGCCACAUUGCAAGUCCCCCCCCUCUCCCCCAUGUGCUGCACCACACUUGUUCCCUUUGGCUGCACGCUACAUGUCCCAUGCACGUGAAGGUGAUGUCCCAACCUGCCGCUGCACAUGCUGACCACUUUGGCUUCAUAGUGCGCCCAUGAUUACCCUCCCAUGCACAUGCAACAAUCCCACGUGAUGCCUUCAUACUCCCAUGCAAUUACUUCCUACUUCAAUGAGUCCCAUGCAAACAAACUCGGCUUUAUUUGGACAGCUAGCAAGCAGAAAAUGUUGGACUUUAGGGAGCAAAGUUUUAGGGGUAACACUCUCCCCCACUCAAUUCGGCAACGCCCCUGUUGCCUCAAGCUGGUACCUCCUCACCACAUCUUCGUGCUGCUACAACCUCAAUUCGUGUUCUCAGCUAGUUUCCUCAGCUCCACGACCUUUCCACUUCACCAAAUAUUCACCAAAUCAAACUCCCUAAGAAAUGCUUGCCACCUUGCUUGCUUGCUUGCUUCGGUGAGAGCUUCUUUUGCGUGAGGAAAUAGCUAGUUGCCACAUUAUCGGUCUUCACCACAAACUUGCUUCUCAACAAGUAAUGCAUCAAGUCCUAAUACAAUGGACCACGACUGUCAUCUCCUUCUCUUGGACCGUGUACCUUCGCUCGGUCUCAUUCAAUUUUCGGCUCUCAUAGGCAAAAUGAUGUCUUCCUUGCAUGAUCAUACCACCAAUAGCAAAGUCGGAAGCAUCCGUAUGAACCUCAAAUGGUGAGGAAUAAUCCGGCAAUUUCAACACUGGCUCUUCCUUCAGUGCUUGCUUCAGUUUCUCGAAGGACUGUUGGGUCUUCUCAUUCCAUUUCCAUGGCUUAUCUUUUCUCAACAAAUCAGUCAAGGGGGCGGCAAUGUGUGAGUACCCCUUGAUGAACCUCCUGUAAUAGUUAGCCAAGCCCAAGAAAGACCUCAAUUUCGGCACCUUUCUAGGCGGUUCCCAAUCCUCAAUUGCUUGUAUCUUGGCCUUGUCCAUUUUGAUCUCAACAUGUCUCACAACAUGUCUAAAAAAUGCCACCUCUUGUUGAGCAAACUCACACUUCUCCUUCUUGACAAACAAGUGGUGCUCUCUCAAUUUUUGAAAGACCAGCUGUAAAUGCUCCAACUCUCCUCUAAAGUUCGGCUAUACACCACAAUAUCAUCUAAAUAAAACACAACAAACUGAUCAAGAAAUGAGUGAAAUACCUUAUUCAUAAGUGUACAAAAUGUAUCUGGGGCGUUGGUGAGGCCAAAUGGCAUAACCUUGAACUCGAAGGACCCAUAGCGCAUCACAGGAGCUGUCUUGGGCUCAUCCCCUUCGGCUAUGCGCACCUGGUAGUAACCAGACCUCAAGUCCAGUUUUGAGAACCAUCUAGCUUCCCCCAAUCUGUCAAACAAGUCACCAAUGAGUGGGAUGGGGUACUUAUUCUUCACCGUAAUUUUGUUCAAGGCUCGGUAGUCAAUAUUUCUUGAAUUUCUCAUCCUGGUGGUCCUUCUUCCCAGCCCAAGGUUUCUUGCCAUUCCCUUCUUUCGGUCAUUCCUUAUAACUCUCCUUACCGCCACCUUUCUCUCCACCAUUCUUGCCCUUGCCAUCCUUAGUUUUGGACUUGUCACCCUUCUUAUACUCCACAAGUGACUUGGCAAUUGUAAUGGCAGCAACAAGGUCUUGAGCAUCACGUUUCUCAAUCUCUAGUUUCACCCAAGUUUGGAGCCCAUCUUUGAAGAAAAACAACAGCUCUUGGUCGAGGUAUUCUGGGAUUUCCAACAACACCUCCGAGAACUCCUUCACAUACUCAUGUAUAGUGCCCUUUUGUGUAAGCCUUCUCAACUUUGCUCUUGUCUCAUCAGUCGUAUUCUCGGGAUAAAAUUGCUUCUUCAGCUCCCAUGAAGUGCUUCUUGUGUGAAGGGCCACAUACGGAUGCUUCCGACUUUGCUAUUGGUGGUAUGAUCAUGCAAGGAAGACAUCCUUUUGCCUAUGAGAGCCGGAAAUUGAAUGAGACCGAGCGGAGGUACAUGAUCCAAGAGAAGGAGAUGACAACCGUGGUUCAUUGUUUUAGGACUUAGCGGCAUUACUUGUUGGGAAGCAAGUUUGUGGUGAAGACCGAUAAUGUGGUAACUAGCUAUUUCCUCACGCAAAAGAAGCUCUCACCGAAGCAAGCAAGGGGGCAAUCAUUUCUUGGGGAGUUUGAUUUUGUCAUGGAGUAUAAACCCGGGAAAGCCAACCUUGUUGCGGAUGCCCUAAGCCACAAGGUGGAGUUGGCAGCAACUACCACACAACCCAAUCAUAGUCUAUUGGAGCGCAUAGAGGAAGGCCUUCAGCAUGAUCCGCAAGCCAAGCUGCUGUUGGAGCUGAUUGGGCAGGGAAAGACUAGGCGGUUCUGGAGGGAUGAACAUGGGCCGGUGCGGACAAAAAGGGGUGCAGUGUAUGUGCCGAGGUGGGGCAGUUUGAGGAAAGAAGUGAUGCGGGAAUGUCAUGACACUCGGUGGGUUGGUCACCCAAGUGCGCAGCGCACCCAAGCUCUAGUGGAGCGAGGUUACUACUGGCUGAGAAUGCUGGAUGACAUUCAGAUGUUUGUGAAGACGUGCCUUGUGUGCCAGCAAGACAAGGCCAAAUAGAGGAGACCUGCGGGGCUGUUGGGACCUCUUCCAACACCCAGCCGUCCAUGGGAGAGCAUCUCCAUGGAUUUCAUUGUGGGUUUGCCGAAGGUGAGUGGCUUUGGCAAUAUUAUGGUGGUGGUUGAUUGGCUCAGUAAGUAUGCUGUUUUUAUGCCUACUCCAGCCCAGUUUGAUGCAAAGGAAGCUGCCAAGCUAUUUUUCAGAGGUGUUGUGAAAUAUUGGGGGCUACCAAGGGACAUUAUUAGUGACAGGGAUGUAAGGUUCACUGGCAAAUUCUAGACUGAAUUGUUCAGGUUGAUGGGGACAGAAUUGAGCUUCUCCACCAGUUUUCACCCCCAAACGGAUGGGCAGACAGAGAGGAUAAAUGCACUGCUGGAGCUUUAUUUAGGGCACUUUGUGAGUGCCAAUUAGUGGGACUGGCCCGAGUUGCUUGAUGUGGCUCAAUUUUCCUACAACCUGCAGAAAAGUGAGGCAACGGGAGCAAGCCCCUUUGAGGUUGCUACGGGACAGUAGCCCCUCACCCCACACACGGUAGCAAUUCCUUACCGAGGUCCUAAUCCCACUACUUUUAAGUUUGCUAAGAAUUGGAAAGAAAAGGUGGAACUAGCAAGAACAUCAUUGGCUAGAGCUACAAAGAAGAUGAAGAAAUGGGCCGACACCAAGAGGAGGCAUUUGGAAUUUGAAGUAGGCAACUUGGUGUUAGUGAGGAUGUUUCACCGCACUUAUGGCAAGCGACACAAGGGACUUUUGAGGAAGUAUGAGAGACAAUUUUCAGUGGAGCAAUGAGUUGGGAAAGUGGCAUACCGUGUGAAGCUGUCCACACAUUUGGAGUGCCAUCUGGUGUUCCAUGUUAGUCUCCUAAAGCCAUACCACGCAGACCAAGAAGACCUAGCCAGGAAUAAAUCCAAAAGGGCACCAGUGGCAGUCACAAUCAAGUUGGAUCAUGAACCCGAGGAGAUAUUGGCGCAUAGGGCUGUUCCUUCAUGGGGCGCCCAUCCUGGUUAUACAGAAUAUUUAGUGAAGUGGAAAGGCCGUGGAGCUGAGAAAACUAGCUGGGAACACGAGUUGAGGUUGUAGCAGCAUGAGGAUGUGGUGAGGAGGUACCAGUUCGAGGUAAUGGGGGCGUUGCCGGAUUGAGUGGGGGAGAGUGUUACCCCUAAAAUUUUGCUCCCAAAAUGUCCAAUAUUUUCUGCUUGUUGGCUGUCCAAAUGAAACCAAGAUGUGUGCAUGGGACACAUUGGAGUGGGACGUAAAUUGCAUGGGGGUAUGGAGGCAUCACGUGGAGCUGUUGCAUGUGCAUGAGAAAUGUGGUAAUGGAGGCGCACUAUGAAGCCAAGGUGGUUAGCACAUGUUGUGGCAGCUUGGGACAAACACCUUGACAUGUAUGGGCCAUGCAACGAGAGGCCAAACACCUUAGUAUGGUGCAGCGCAUGUGGGACGUGCCAGGUGGGAAGCUCAUGGAACUUGCUAGGUGGCCAUCAUAUGGGACGGCAAGUGGAGUGGUUGGUCUACGUGCUUGGCAAGCUUCAGCCAUGCAGCGUGAAGCUUAGGAGGGAAAAUUGUCUCGCCCAUGUGAGACCCAACAAGGCAGGGCCCAGCAUUUAGGCGCCCAAAAUUUCACUUGGCCAUUUCAAAUGCAUCGACGGGACUUGCUAGGUGGCAAGAAGAGCUACUGUCCCAUACCUCUUCAUGAUGACUUUCUGCCCAAUGAGUAUUAUAUUAGAGUUGAGAGAGUUAUACUUUGUAAUUGUAUAGCUGAUGGGAAUGCAAUACAAGAAGUAGAAGUCCUUUGCAUCUGAUUAUUCUCUCAUUUCUACCUUUCUUUACGUGUGUGGCUAUGUAUGGUUGUAUGUUCAUGUGUUGCUUGUGAUUGGUUACUUGCUAAGGUUUUGGCCAUUGGGUUUUCCUCGUGAGAAUUGUUGCCGAGUGGUCCUUGGGACUUUUGAGAGGCUGACUUGUGUGGUGGAUACAAGUGCCGCACGGUUUGGGGUUAGUUUUGAGAAGUGAAACUGUCCCUCCGUGACACUCGCGCCUAGGGGCUUCCCCCAAUUGGCCCGUGGCAAUGCCCAGUGUCUCCCCGGUGCUCGUGCACGGGGGCGUUUGUUAUUCACCCAUGUCAUGCAAAAUGAGGUUAUAAUUGGCACGGGAUGCAGUUUUAUUCGUUGGCUAAUAGGCCAAAAAGAGGUUUGCCUGACCCUUUUGCUAGCAAGCCUAUACACUAACAUUUUUUUUUUUUUGGAAGGUGUUGGCAGGCUCUCGUCUUGAAUAUGCUUUUUGCUUAUAAGUGAUAUUAUCCUCUUCGUAUACGUGCUUGAAAUAUUAUCCAAGAUAAUCCAGUGAUUGGUGCCUUGCAUCUACACUUGCCUUCAUCAUGUGGGGAUGCUAUCUAUGGAGCGCUUCUUUCGUUCUCACUAUGAUCCUAAGGUUUUGCGCUUUAUGUUUUAUGGAACAAUUCUCUCAUUGAGUAUAAAGAGCACAAAAUCUAAUAUUAUGCACAUGACAAAUCUUCUAUGAUUUUUUCUCUACUUACCUUCAACCUGCUCACGUGGAAAACUGGGUGCAUCUUCAUCCAUGCUGGUGGCUCUACUUUGUAGGAAACUUGGCCCACUUUGGCAAUGAUCGGCAUAGGCCCUUCAUACUUUCGAACCAAUAUGCUAUCCCGGUUGCGAAGAAAUCUGAGUUGUUCUGGAAGUAACUUCACCAUCACCAGGUCUCCCACUGUGAAUUCCUACGGUCUUCGAUUUUCAUCUGCCCAUUUCUUCAUGCGCUUGGAUGCUUUUUCCCUUGCAAUUUCAACUGUCUGCUUCCACUCCUUUAUGAAGUGGUAUGCUUUGGGAUUCCUACCGGUGUAUGGACCAUCCAAUGUGUGAGGUGCCAAAGGUUGCUGUCCUGAAACAAUCUUAAAAUGACUUUUAUUAGUGGUAAAGCUCUUUAAAGAGUUAAAACAAAAUUAUGUAACGUCGAGCAAGGAGGUCCAAUUCUUUUAACUGGCAUUUACAAAAUGCCGCAAGUAUUCCUCCAGUAGACCAUUGAAUCUUUCCGUUUGGCCAUCUGUUUGUGGAUAAAAGCUGGUGAAGACAUCCAAUCUAGUCCUUAAGAGGUGAAACAAUUCUGACCAGGAGGAGCCUAUGAAUCAGCCAUCUCGAUCGUUAACAAUGCUUUUUGGGAUCCCCCAGUAUUUCACUAUAUGUUUGAAGAAGGCACGGGUUGUAUUUUCAGCUGAACAGUAUCUUGACGUCGGCACAAAGGUUUCAUAUAUUGAGAAUCUGUCAAUUAACACCAAGAUAUGAUCAUACUCCCAAACCUUCGGUAACCCUGCAAUGAAAUCAAGGGAGACACUCUCCUAUGGUCUAGUUGAAACUGGUAAAGGUUGUAAUAAUCCCGUAGGUUUUUGCUUCUGCUUGUCUUGUUGACACGCCAAGCAAGUUUUCGUGUAUUGCCUCACAUCAUCUUCUAAUUGAGGCCAAUAAUAUCACUGCUUCAACAGAGCCAAUGUGUGCUGACACCCUGGAUGCUCGAUCCACAAGGUAUCAUGACAUUCCUGCAGUAAAAGUUUCCUCAAAUUUCCAGCCUUUGGGACAUACACUCGAUUUCUUCGGGUCAUCAAGAGAUCAUCCUCCAACCAAAAUUGUCUGGUCUUCCUCUCUUUUACCAAUUUUAUCAAUGCUACUGCUUGGGCAUUCUUCUUUAAGUUAUCCCGAACUUGUCUUCGCAAUGACGUGUCUACUUGGCUCCUUGAUAACUGAGCUAGAUGUUUCAAGGUUGCUAAGUUCGAUUUCCUACUCAAUGCAUCUGCAACCCGAUUAGAACUCCCUAGCUUGUACUCGAAUAGGAAAUCGAACUCUACUAGGCAUUCCUGCCAUCGUGCUUAUUUGGAGUCAACUUUGGUUGAGAGAGGAAGUGGCUCACUGCUGUAUUAUCUGUCUUCACUACAAAUCUUAACCCCAACAAAAAGUGCCUCCAUGUACGAAGACAGUGUGUUACCGCCAACAACUCUUUCUCUUGAGCUGUAUAUCGAAGUUCAACAUCUUUUAGUUUUCGACUUUCAAAAGCAAUUUGAUGGCCUUCUUGCAUCAAAACUCCUCCCAGUGCUAAGUCUGAAGCAUCGGUGUGUACCUUAAAAGGUUUUGCCAUAUCCGGGAGAGUUAACACUGGUUCUACUAAUAUCAUUUGCUUCAGUUUUUCGAAUGCUGCUUAACAGUCUACAGUCCACUGCCAUUUAUUUUCCUUCCUUAACAACUCUGUGAGGGGGUAGAUCUUUUGUGAAUAGCCUUGCACGAAUCAUCGGUAGUAGUUUGCUAAUUCCAAGAAUGAUCUCAAUUCUGUAAGACCCUUGGGUACCGGCUAAUCCUGAAUUGCCCUUAUCUUGGCUUGGUCCAUUUGGAUUCUCCCUUGUUCGAUCACAUGGCCUAGAAACUUAAUCCUGGUUUGAGCAAAAGCACAUUUCUCCUUCAGAAACAGCUUGUUCUCCCUCAAUUUUUAAAAAACAAGGCGAAGAUGUUCUUUGUGCUCUUGUAAGGUGGAGCUAUACACCACAACAUCAUUGAAGUACACCACCACAAAUUUGUCAAGGUAGUCAUGAAAAGCCUGAUUCAUUAGAGUGCAGAAAGUGGCAGGAGUAUUUGUUAGUCCAAAGGGCAUUACAAGGAAUUCAAAGGCAUCAUACCGUGUUAUACAAGUAGUUUUGGGUUCAUCUCCUUCUUUGAUACGAACUUGAUGAUAUCCCGACCGGAGAUCUAACUUGGUGAAAAAAUUAGCUUACCCCAACUGGUCAAAUAAGUCCACAAUCAAGGGAAUGGUGUACUUGAUUUGUAUUAUGACUUUAUUAAGAACCUGAUAAUCCACAUAAAGUCUCAAGUUACCAUCCUUCUUCUUUUGGAAAAUGACUGGAGCACCAAAUAGAGCUUUCGCUGGUCAAAUAAAUUCUGCUUCUAAUAACUCGUCAAACUGCUUUCUUAAUUUUGUCAAUUCUGGUGGGGCCAUUCUAUAAGGGGCUUUUGCAGGAGGUUUGGUUCCUGGCAAUAGCUCAAUCUCAUGAUCUAUGCCAUGUCGGGGCGGCAAGACUGUAGGUAACUUCUUGGGCAUUACAUCUUGAAAUUUAGCCAUCACAUCUUGAAUUUGUGGAGGAAAUGGGGGUGCUUUUCCACCUUCUUUGACAAUGGGAACUACCACAUAUGACGGCUCCCUACGCUUGACACAUUUCUUAAACUGGAGGGCCGAUAACAACUUCUUUUCACUGAUUGGGCUAAAACUUGUGGGAAUGGUACAUGGCUUGUCUCUCAUUAAUAAGAUACAAUUUGCAGCUGGGACUGGGAUUGCUUGAGCUCUCUUCAGAAAUUCCAUUCCGAUUACUACAUCAAAGUCAUCAAAGGGAGUCACUGUAAAAUCUGUUUCGCCUUUCCAAGGUCCCAUUUGAUAGGACACCCCACGAGCAACUCCUAUGGUUUUAAAGGCUUGAGAAUUCACUGCCUUUAUCUUUCCUGCAUCGGCUUGCAUAGCUUGCACAGUUAGCUUAAAUCGAGUAAUUAAUGUGUUAGCUACAAAAUUAUCAGUGGCACAUGUGUCUACCAAAGCCCUGACAUUUUUCCCAUUGAUGAGUAAGUCCACAUACAUCAAUCCCCUCUCAGUAGUAGCUGUUGGUUUCUAUUUUUCCAAAGCUCCAAGAAUUCGUAGGGCACCCAUUACUGAGGCAUCACGAUCAUUCGAUUCCCUAUCUUCUUCUUCUUUUUCUUCUUCUUCGGGCUUCUUUUCUUCCUCAAAGAUGGCCUUUAAGGCACUUAAAGCACUCUUGGUUGGACAUUCUCGAGCCCGAUGUGGCCCAUCACAGAGAAAGCAUUUUAACGGAUUAAUCUUAAAGGAGUUGGUCUUAUCAGUGGAGAUGUGUGCUGACCCCUAUCUUGAGUUACCCUACUCCCUAUUUUGGCUCAUAGGUUUGUUGGUGUUAGGCCCCGAGUUCCAAGUUCUCCUCUCAGUCCCUCCAAAGGUGGAGUUGCUCCGAUCCACUCCCCCACUCGAAUUUCGACCCCAUUUGUUUGGGCGAUUAUCCGAACCUGGAAGAGAGUUAAACUUUCUCUUUGAGGCAUUGCUUGUAUAAUCAUCGAGACUUUCGGCUACAGCCAAGGCAGUACUAAAUUCCUUUACUCCCCAUCUGACCAGUUCAUUCCUAGCCCACGGCUUUAGACCCUUUUGGAAGUUGAACAAUCUGUCAGCUUCAGACAUAUCCUUAAUGUCAAGCAUGAGUGAUGUGAAGCUUUUUACAUAUUCUCGGAUAGAGCUUGUGUGCUGUAACUCUGCUAGCUUGCACUAAGCAUUAUAGGCCACAUUCUCGGGAUAAAAUUGAGCCUUUAGUGCCUUCUUGAAAUCAUCCCAUGUGACGAUGGAACAUUGGCCAGAAAUAGAUUGCUCCACUUUGGUUCUCCAUCAUACUUUCGCAUCAUUGGCCAAAUACAUCGGCAUAAUCUUCAAUUUACCUGCAUUAGAGUCAUUUUUGGUAGCAAUGAAGUAUAAUUCCAUGUCAAAGAUGAAAUUAUCUAUCUCCCUGGCAUCACGGGCACCUCCGAAAGACUUGGGCUCAGGGAUUUUGGCUUUUCCUAUCUCAAAGGCUUUCCCAUUCGUAUUGCUUGCCGCUUUCAUGAGCAAGUUCACCUUUCCCUAUAAUAGACUAGUUGUAAUUAUAUUUCAUGAAUGAAUGAAGUAGCCUUUUCAUGAAAUGCUUGUGCCUGUCUUUGCUGUGCCUUUCAUGCUUGUGUUGCUUGCUUAUGUGUUGCCCCAUUUAUAUGAAAUGCUUGUGAUACCUCCCAAAUUAGCCUAACUUGGCCUAAUGCUAAUCAUGUCUUUGAUUUCUCACAGUUUGUUGUGAGAUUCUUGUGGGCUGACUUGUCUUGAAGAGUUCAAGCCAAGUGCCACACGGUCCCAACUGAGUGUUGAAGUUGGGCCCGUUACGGUUGGUAUCAGAGCAGCGAUUGAUCCGUAAGCUGAAUUGAGGAUGACUAACCUUGCUAAUCAACUUGAUGCCCUUGAGAGAAGGGUUGAUGACGCUUUUGCUCUCAUUGAUAAUUGUCCCACAUACGAGGCAUUGACAAAAGAACUUGAAGUUGUUCGCCUCUCUCUUGAGCAACGAAAUAAGCACGUUGAGGUGCUAGAAGAGAAAGUUGAGUAACUUGUGGCUAUGGUAGCCAAAUUAAUUAGGGGUGAGGAUGAGCCAACAGAGUUUGAGGCCAUUCAAAAUUCCCUACUAACAAAUAUUAUCCGAUUGGGGGAUAUUGAGAGCAGAGUGUUCGCAUUAGAGGCAGAGGCCUCUCAAACAGGGGAUUGUGCAGAAAGUUUAAAAGCCCUCACCAUCGCCCAUGAUUCCUUGGUGGGUAGUGUGAAUGACAUGAAAGAAGAUGUUGAAACGGCAAAGACACUUCAAGGAGAAGUCCAAGUGUUGUAGGGACAGGUGAACUUACUCAUGAAAGCGGCAAGCAAUAUGAAUGGGGGAGCCUUUGAGAUGGGAAAAGCUAAAAUCUCUGAGCCCAAGUCUUUCGGAGGUGCCCGUAAUGCCAGGGAGGUAGAUAAUUUCAUAUUUGACAUGGAAUUAUACUUCACUGCUACAAAAAAUGACUCUGAUGCAGGUAAAUUGAAGAUUAUGCCGAUAUAUUUGGCCAAUGAUGUGAAACUAUGGUGGAGAACCAAAGUGGAGUAAUCUAUUUCUGGCCAAUGUUUCAUUGUCACAUGGGAUGAUUUCAAGAAGGCACUAAAGGCUCAAUUUUAUCCCGAGAAUGUGGCUUAUAAUGCUCAGUACAAGCUAGCAGAGUUACAGCACACAGGUUUUAUCCGAGAAUAUGUAAGAAGCUUCACGUCACUCAUGCUUGACAUUAAGGAUAUGUCUGAAGCUGACAGAUUGUUCAACUUUCAAAAGGGUCUAAAGCCAUGGGCCAGGAAUGAACUGGUCAGAUGGGGAGUAAAGGAACUUAGUACUACCUUGGUUGUAGCCGAAAGUCUCGAUGAUUAUACAAGCAAUGCCUCAAAGAGAAAGUUUAACUCUCUGCCAGGUUCGGAUAAUCGCCCAAACAAAUGGGGUCGAAAUUCGAGUGGGGGAGUGGAUCCGAGCAACUCCACCUUUGGAGGGAUUGAGAGGAGAACUUGGAACUCGGGGCCUAACACCAACAAACCUAUGAGCCAAAAUAGGGAGCAGGGUAACUCAAGAUAGGGGUCAGCACACAUCUCCACUGAUAAGACCAACUCCUUUAAGACUAAUCCGUUGAAAUGCUUUCUCUGUGAUGGGCCACAUUGGGCUCGAGAAUGUCCAACCAAGAGUGUUUUAAGUGCCUUAAAGGCCAUCUUUGAGGAAGAAAAGAAGCCCGAAGAAGAAGAAGAAGAAGAAGAAGAAGAUAGGGAAUCGAAUGAUCGUGAUGCUUCAGUAAUUGGUGCCCUACGAAUUCUUGGAGCUUUGGAAAAAUAGAAACCAACAGCUACUACUGAGAGGGGAUUGAUGUAUGUGGACUUACUCAUCAAUGGGAAAAAUGCCAGGGCUUUGGUAGACACAGGUGCCAUUGAUAAUUUUAUAGCUAACGCAUUAGUUACUCGGUUUAAGCUAACUGUGCAAGCUGUGCAAGCCGAUGCAGGAAAGAUAAAGGUAGUGAAUUUUCAAGCCUUGAACACCGUAGGAGUUGCUUGUGGGGUGUCCUAUCAGAUGGGACCUUGGAAAGGCAAAAUAGAUUUUACAAGGACUCCCUUUGAUGACUUUGAUGUAGUAAUCGGAAUGGAAUUUCUGAAGAGAGCUCAAGCAAUCUCAGUCCCAGCUGCAGAUUGUAUCUUAUUAAUGGGAGACAAGCCAUGUACCAUUCCCACAAGUUUUAGCCCAAUCAGUGAAAAGAAGUUGUUAUCGGCCCUCCAGUUUAAGAAAGUUGUCAAGCGUAGGGAGCCGUCAUAUGUGGUAGUUCCCAUUGUCCAAGAAGGUGGAAAAGCAGCCCCAUUUCCUCCAUAGAUUCAAGAUAUGAUGGCUAAGUUUCAAGAUGUAAUGCCCGAGCAGUUACCUACAGUCUUGCCGCCCCGACAUUUCAUAAAUUAUGAGAUUGAGCUAUUGCCAGGAACUAAACCUCCUGCAAGAGCCCCUUAUAGAAUGGCCCCACUAGAAUUGGCAGAAUCAAGGAAGCAGUUGGACGAGUUAUUGGAAGCAUGAUUUAUUUGACCAGCGAAAGCUCUCUUUGGUGCUCCAAUCAUUUUCCAAAAGAAGAAGGAUGGUAGCUUGAGACUUUAUGUGGAUUAUUAGGUUCUUAAUAAAGUCACAAUACAAAACAAGUACCCCAUUCCCUUGAUUGCGGACUUAUUUGACCAGUUGGGGUAAGCUAAAUUUUUCAUCAAGUUAGAUAUCCGGUCGGGAUAUCAUCAAGUUCGUAUCAAAGAAGGAGAUGAGCCCAAAACUACUUGUGUAUACACGGUAUGGUGCCUUUGAAUUCCUUGUAAUAUCCUUUGGACUAACAAAUGCUCAUGCCACUUUCUGCACUCUAAUGAAUCAGGUUUUUCAUGACAACCUUGACAAAUUUGUGGUGGUAUACUUCAAUGAUAUUGUGGUGUAUAGCUCCAUCUUACAAGAGCACAAAGAACAUCUUCGCCUUGUUUUUGAAAAAUUGAGGGAGAACAAGCUGUUUCUGAAGGAGAAAUGUGCUUUUGCUUAAACCAGGAUUAAGUUUUUGGGCAUGUGAUCGAACAAGGGAGAAUCCAGAUGGACCAAGCCAAGAUAAGGGCAAUUCAGGAUUGGCUGGUACCCAAGGGUCUUACAGAAUUGAGAUCAUUCUUGGGAUUAGCAAACUACUACCGACGAUUCGUGCAAGGCUAUUCACAAAAGAUCUACCCCCUCACAGAGUUGUUAAGGAAGGGAAAUAAAUGGCAGUGGACUGUAGACUGUUAAGCAGCAUUCAAAAAACUGAAGUAAAUGAUAAUAGUAGAACCAGUGUUAGCUCUCCCGGAUAUGGCAAAACCUUUUGAGGUACACAUCGAUGCUUCAGACUUAGCGCUGGAAGGAAUUUUGAUGCAAGAAAGCCAUUCAGUUGCUUUUGAAAGUCGAAAACUAAAAGAUGCUGAACUUCGAUAUACAGCUCAAGAGAAAGAGUUUUUGGCGGUAGUACACUGUCUUCGUACAUGGAGGCACUAUUUGUUGGGGUCAAGAUUUGUAGUGAAGACAGAUAAUACAGUAGUGAGCUACUUCCUCUCUCAACCAAAGUUGACUACUAAACAAGCACGAUGGCAGGAAUGCUUAGGAGAGUUCGAUUUCCUAUUCCAGUACAAGCGAGGGAGUUCUAAUCGGGUUGCAGAUGCAUUGAGCAGGAAAUCGAACUUAGCAACCUUGAAACAUCUAGCUUAGUUAUCAAGGAGCCAAGUAGACACGUCAUUGCGAAGACAAGUUCGGGAUAACUUAAAGAAGGAUCCCCAAGCAGUAGCAUUGAUGAAAUUGGUAGAAGAGAGGAAGACCAGACAAUUUUGGUUGAAGGAUGAUCUCUUGAUGACCCGAAAAAUCGGGUAUAUGUCCCAAAGGCUGGAAAUUUGAGGAAAUUUUUACUGCAGGAAUGUCAUGAUACCUUAUGAACCGGGCAUCCAAAGUGGCAGCGCACAUUGGCUCUGUUGAAGCAGGGAUAUUACUGGCCUCAAUUAGAAGAUGAUGUGAGGCAAUACAUGAAAACUUGCUUGGUGUGUUAACAAGACAAGCGGAUCGGCAAAAACCUGCGGGAUUAUUACAACCUUUACCAGUUCCAACUAGAUCAUAGGAGAGUGUCUCCCUUGAUUUCAUUGCAGGGUUACUGAAGGUUGGGGAGUAUGAUCAUAUCUUGGUGUUAAUUGACAAAUUCUCAAUAUAUGGAACCUUUGUGCCGAUGUCAAGAUAUUGUUCAGCUGAAAAUACAACCCGUGCCUUUUUCAAACAUAUAGUGAAAUACUGGGGGAUCCCAAAGAGCAUUGUUAGCGAUCGAGAUGGUCGAUUCAUAGGCUCAUUCUGGUCAGAAUUGUUUCACCUCUUGGGGACUAGAUUGGAUGUCUUGAACAGCUUUCAUCUACAAACAGAUGGCCAAACGGAAAGAUUUAAUGGUUUACUGGAGGAAUAUUUGCGGCAUUUUGUAAAUGCCAGUUAGAAGAAUUGGGCCUCCUUGCUCGACAUUGCAUAAUUAUUUUUAACUCUUUAAAGAGCUCUACCACUAAUAAAAGUUAUUUUAAGAUUGUUUCAGGAUAGCAACCUUUGGCAUCUCACACAUUGGAUGGUCCAUACACCAACAGAAAUCCCAAAGCAUACCACUUCAUGAAGGAGUGGAAGCAGACAGCUGACAUUGCCAGAGCUCGAUUGGAAAAAGCAUCCAAGCACAUGAAGAAAUGGGCAGAUGAAAAUCAAAGACCGCAGGAAUUCACAGUGGGAGACCUGGUGAUGGUGAAGUUACUUCCAGAACAACUCAGAUUUUUUCGCAACCGGGACAGCAGAUUGGUUCGUAAGUAUGAAGGGCCUAUGCCAAUCAUUGCCAAAGUGGGCCAAGUUUCCUACAAAGUAGAGCCACCAGCAUGAAUGAAGAUCCACCCAGUUUUCCACGUGAACAGGUUGAAGCCAUACCAUGCCGAUCAAACUGAUGUCAGCUGCAACAAAUCAUCCAGGCCAGCCAUCACCACUGCACCACCAGUUAAUCAAAGAUUCGAAGAGAUUCUUGCAGAAAGAGUAGUCAGAACCACCAAGCGGUCGCCACACAAGGAGUAUCUCGUCAGAUGGUAGGCCUUGAGCGUAGAGGAGACCAGCUGGGAGAAAGCAAUAGACCUUCAACAAUAUGUCCAGAAGAUUGAAGAUUUUUUACAAGCGCAGUCAACGGGGACGUCGAUCAUUAGAGUGGGGGAGAAUGUCAAGAGGUAGGAAGUUAGGGUAGAAUGAUGUGUAACAUAACCACUUUAUAGGGCAAAAGAGAAAUUGUAUUUUAUUUUUAUUUAUGUAAUUUUAGGAGUGUGAUCACUCUAGCAUAUUGAUGUAUCAUCGUACCACACCUCAUUAUGUCCCAAAUGCUCUUCAGGGGGGAGUGACUAGUUGGCCUUAGGUGGGCAACUGGCCUAGCUAGUCACUUUCCUUGUCGUGUUUCGUUGUGUGCUCUUUAUAGGUUUUCCCCCUGCCUAUAAUAGACUGGUUGUAAUUAUAUUUCAUAAAUGAAUGAAGUAACUUUUUCAUGAAA